rnacentral:rRNA from 1 species
GACGAACGCUGGCGGCGUACUUAACACAUGCAAGUCGAACGGAAAGGCCCUGCUUUUGUGGGGUGCUCGAGUGGCGAACGGGUGAGUAACACGUGAGUAACCUGCCCUUGACUUUGGGAUAACUUCAGGAAACUGGGGCUAAUACCGGAUAGGAGCUCCUGCUGCAUGGUGGGGGUUGGAAAGUUUCGGCGGUUGGGGAUGGACUCGCGGCUUAUCAGCUUGUUGGUGGGGUAGUGGCUUACCAAGGCUUUGACGGGUAGCCGGCCUGAGAGGGUGACCGGCCACAUUGGGACUGAGAUACGGCCCAGACUCCUACGGGAGGCAGCAGUGGGGAAUAUUGCACAAUGGGCGGAAGCCUGAUGCAGCAACGCCGCGUGCGGGAUGACGGCCUUCGGGUUGUAAACCGCUUUCGCCUGUGACGAAGCGUGAGUGACGGUAAUGGGUAAAGAAGCACCGGCUAACUACGU